rnacentral:rRNA from 1 species
GACGAACGCUGGCGGCGCGCCUAACACAUGCAAGUCGAACGAGCGAGAGAGAGCUUGCUUUCUCGAGCGAGUGGCGAACGGGUGAGUAACGCGUGAGGAACCUGCCUCAAAGAGGGGGACAACAGUUGGAAACGACUGCUAAUACCGCAUAAGCCCACGACCCGGCAUCGGGUAGAGGGAAAAGGAGCAAUCCGCUUUGAGAUGGCCUCGCGUCCGAUUAGCUAGUUGGUGAGGUAAUGGCCCACCAAGGCGACGAUCGGUAGCCGGACUGAGAGGUUGAACGGCCACAUUGGGACUGAGACACGGCCCAGACUCCUACGGGAGGCAGCAGUGGGGAAUAUUGCACAAUGGGGGAAACCCUGAUGCAGCGACGCCGCGUGGAGGAAGAAGGUCUUCGGAUUGUAAACUCCUGUUGUUGAGGAAGAUAAUGACG